GAAAAAGUAUUUGUCGAAGAAGGUUUUUCGUUUUUUUCUUCGGGGAUUUGGACGUUAACUUCGUCGUAACCGUUUUCGACCCCAACAAGAGACUGCAUGUUUUUUUUGCUUAAGGACAAGCAAAAGGGUAACUCUGGGGGAGUUGAUAGACCAUGGAUUUGACCUACUUUUACCCAUGGUUUAUAAGUGUUUUAAUUACUAAUUUUUAUAUUAUAGAGUCUAUUUAGAGUAUUUAUAGGAUCAUGAGUGAUUUGGAGGAAAGUAAUGAUUUUGGAGCAUUUUGGAGAUAUUUGGAGUGAGCACCCGAGAUGAUCAUUGAACGUGACCAUCGGUCGAUAUUGAAGAGAAAUAAUCGAUUGAUGUUCACAUCUUGACAUCGAUCGACAGUGAAGCGCGCAGAAAGCCCAUUUGGUCACAGCCGACUUAGAGCCCAAGUCUUCACCAAUUUACAAGAUUGCCCC
rnacentral:lncRNA from 1 species